GAACAACCGCGGAACGGCGGGCCGCCAUCGGGGCGGAGCGGGAGCGAAGCGGAGCGGGUGAGAGAUGCUAAAGACAACAAGAAGGGAUCCAGGCACAUCAGUCCGAAAAGGCCGAAGAGAGCGCACCUCCUCUGCUAAAUGGGAAAGCAGAACUGGCUGCAGCAGGUAUGGAGGAGGUUGCGGUACUCAGUGCGUUCUCUGCCUCAGUCUUUGCUGGCAGCCAGGAUUCUCACAUCCCUGAACCUGAACCUCCAGGUGGGAACCGGGGCAGCAAACUCCUCCCUGCUGCAAGGGCUGAGCAAAUCUGUGACUGACUGUUGAGAAUGGAUGUGUACAAGUCCCUGGGGCUGGAUGGCGUGCAACCCAGGGUCCUAAGGGAGCUGGCUGAGCUGGCUGCCAGGCAAAGUCCGCAGGGACUGGAAAAAGGGAAACAUCAAAGGGAGGAAGGAGGAACUGGGGAGCUACAGGCUGCUGGGUCUCCCCGCUGAGCCUGGGAAGAUGUUGGAGCAGAUUCUCCUGGAAGAGUUCCGGCACGUGAGGGAUGAGCGUGAGAUCCGAGACAGCCAGCACUGCUUCACCGAGGGAGGGCUGCGCCUGACCCGUUGGCGGCCUCCUGUGCUGGAGUGACAGCACUGGUGGCCAAAGGGGGACAAAAGCCCCAAGGGGGAGGUCCAAGGAGAUGCCACCUCAAUGCCUGUCCCUUCAAGACGGCUGCCAACACUGCCAGGAUGGUCACUCGCACGUUGAUGCUGUGACGGCACUCCACCAUGGCCCCAAAUAGACACCUCUGAGCUGUAACCAGGGCAGCGUCAGUGGAUUUAUUGGGGGAUGCAAAGUGCCUCAAACAUGCUGAAGUGACCCCAAAUUUACCUGGCGGCUCCCAGAAUGUCCCCUGUGGAUCCCGGUGUCCCUGAGAUGUCGCUAUGCCUCCGUGUCCCCAUAGAUUUCCCCAAACGCCCCAUAUUGACUUCAGUGUCUCCUACAAAGCCCCUUCCGCUUCCUGGAGGUCUACCCAUAGGUCCCCUCAUCCUCCUGGACUGAAGCUCAGCAUCCCGUCAGGUGUCCCCAGAGCUCCCCUACAGA